UUCAAGACUUCAUAAGUCCACUAAAAAUAAUUCAAAUGAAAUAAACCAAGUCACCAAUAAAUUCUAGGGACAAAAGUAAGAGGGGUCUAUGUUCAACAUAUUCACAAAAUAAUAAAAAUAAAAGGGUUAAAAAUAAAAUCAAAAUGGAAAUAAAUGAGGAAAAUAAAUAAGUAAAAAUAAUAUAAGUGAAAAAUAAAUGAGAUU
rnacentral:lncRNA from 1 species